GACGAACGCUGGCGGCGUGCUUAACACAUGCAAGUCGAACGUGAUUUUUGUGGAAAUUCUUUCGGGAAUGGAAGUGAAAUGAAAGUGGCGAACGGGUGAGUAACACGUGAGCAACCUACCUUACACAGGGGGAUAGCCGUUGGAAACGACGAUUAAUACCGCAUGAGACCACAGAAUCGCAUGAUAUAGGGGUCAAAGAUUUAUCGGUGUAAGAAGGGCUCGCGUCUGAUUAGCUAGUUGGAAGGGUAAAGGCCUACCAAGGCGACGAUCAGUAGCCGGUCUGAGAGGAUGAACGGCCACAUUGGAACUGAGACACGGUCCAAACUCCUACGGGAGGCAGCAGUGGGGAAUAUUGCACAAUGGGGGGAACCCUGAUGCAGCGACGCCGCGUGAGCAAAGAAGGUUUUCGAAUCGUAAAGCUCUGUCCUAUGAGAAGAUAAUGACGGUAUCAUAGGAGGAAGCCCCGGCUAAAUACGUGCCAGCAGCCGCGGUAAUACGUAUGGGGCGAGCGUUGUCCGGAAUUAUUGGGCGUAAAGGUACGUAGGCGGUUUUUUAAGUCAGGUGUGAAAGCGUGAGGUUAACCUUCAUUAAGCACUUGAAACUGGAAGACUUGAGUGAAGGAGAGGAAAGUGGAAUUCCUAGUGUAGCGGUGAAAUGCGUAGAUAUUAGGAGGAAUACCGGUGGCGAAGGCGACUUUCUGGACUUUUACUGACGCUCAGUACGAAAGCGUGGGAGCAAACAGGAUAGAUACCCUGGUAGUCCAAGGGCGGAUUCACAGUUGAUAUCAAGCUAUCGAUACCGUCGACCUCCAGGGGGGGCAGGAAGCAGAUGGUUCGCUUACACUAGGAUAUGACCAAGAG
rnacentral:rRNA from 1 species